CCUACGGGUGGCUGCAGUGGGGAAUAUUGGACAAUGGGCGAAAGCCUGAUCCAGCCAUGCCGCGUGUGUGAAGAAGGCCUUCGGGUUGUAAAGCACUUUCAGUGGGGAAGAAAGCCUUGGGGCUAAUACCCUCGAGGAAGGACAUCACCCACAGAAGAAGCACCGGCUAACUCCGUGCCAGCAGCCGCGGUAAUACGGAGGGUGCGAGCGUUAAUCGGAAUUACUGGGCGUAAAGCGCGCGUAGGCGGUCUGAUAAGCCGGUUGUGAAAGCCCCGGGCUCAACCUGGGAACGGCAUCCGGAACUGUCAGGCUAGAGUGCAGGAGAGGAAGGUAGAAUUCCCGGUGUAGCGGUGAAAUGCGUAGAGAUCGGGAGGAAUACCAGUGGCGAAGGCGGCCUUCUGGACUGACACUGACGCUGAGGUGCGAAAGCGUGGGUAGCAAACAGGAUAAGAUACCCCAGUAGUC
rnacentral:rRNA from 1 species